CCUACGGGGGGCAGCAGUGAGGAAUAUUGGUCAAUGGACGAGAGUCUGAACCAGCCAAGUAGCGUGAAGGAUGACUGCCCUAUGGGUUGUAAACUUCUUUUAUAUGGGAAUAAAACGUUCCACGUGUGGGAUUUUGUAUGUACCAUAUGAAUAAGGAUCGGCUAACUCCGUGCCAGCAGCCGCGGUAAUACGGAGGAUCCGAGCGUUAUCCGGAUUUAUUGGGUUUAAAGGGAGCGUAGGUGGAUUGUUAAGUCAGUUGUGAAAGUUUGCGGCUCAACCGUAAAAUUGCAGUUGAAACUGGCAGUCUUGAGUACAGUAGAGGUGGGCGGAAUUCGUGGUGUAGCGGUGAAAUGCUUAGAUAUCACGAAGAACUCCGAUUGCGAUGGCAGUUCACUGGACUGCAACUGACACUGAGGCUCGAAAGUGUGGGUAUCAAACAGGAUUAGAUACCCUUGUAGUC
rnacentral:rRNA from 1 species